AUACGGAGGGUCCGAGCGUUAUCCGGAAUCAUUGGGUUUAAAGGGUCCGUAGGCGGGAAUCUAAGUCAGUGGUGAAAUCUUGCAGCUCAACUGUAAAAUUGCCAUUGAUACUGGAUUUAUUGAAUUAGUGUGAAGUGGUUAGAAUGUGUAGUGUAGCGGUGAAAUGCAUAGAUAUUACACAGAAUACCAAUUGCGAAGGCAGAUCACUAACACUAUAUUGACGCUAAGGGACGAAAGCGUGGGGAGCGAACAGGAUUAGAAACCCGAGUAGUCC
rnacentral:rRNA from 1 species